rnacentral:tRNA from 1 species
GUCCCCGUAGCUCAGUUGGAUAGAGCGUUGGUCUCCGACACCAAAGGUCGCCCGUUCGAGUCGGGCCGAGGACACCA